rnacentral:misc_RNA from 1 species
CUCAAUGCCUAGGAUAAACACAACGCUGGCUAUCUGUUUUGAUGCAGGAAUCUGAUUGGGGAGCAACAAAAAGUAUUGUUUUAAGAAAGAGAACUGUGGAAGGAAGCCAUUCAUUGUUUUUUCUAGAGAGAGAGGAUUUGACCCAUAUAAUAAAACUUUUGUUUUAAAAGAUAGAGGGAGGAGAAUGGAACAGUGUGGAUUAUAAUUAAGAAAUGUUGAGCCCAACAACAGGUUACUUCAGGAAUUGGUGAGUCCAGUAUGAUUUAUGUUUUAUUUUUGAUGGCGGGUGAGUGGACAUAAGGUGAUCAAGCAAGAGAGAGGAAGCAGGGAGUAUGUGCUACUUUCUAACAAAUCAGAUGCCUUGCUUAAAACUCUUAAAACGACAAUGUAAUAGCAUCUCAUUCAAAGCUAAAAGUGAGAUUAGGGUAUAGUCUUCCCCAAUCAAUUCUUGUGAUAUAACUCUAAGUAUCUAACUGAAGUUACCCAAUUGUUGAGUGGUUAAAAUAUUGGAUUUAGUCUUGAUAACUAUCUAUGAAGUUAUUUUCCUAAGGAGUUUUUAUUAGGUGAAGGAAGAGGGUAACACCAAAGAAGAUAAUAUAUAACAAAAUUAAAAUAUGCAUAUUUAACAGAAUUCAUAUGACAAUCAAAACCUAUCCCAUACAACAUAUGCUUUUCAUGCAAAAUCAAUGCACUUGCUAAAAUAUUAUACGUCCUCAAUAAGCAUGAGUGACACUCAAGCAAAACUUAAGCAAUUUGACUGGGCAAUUCAAGUAAAUCGCAACAACCCAAAAAUAUGCCCAUCCAAUCCUCCUCAUCUCCCAAAAGGAACUUACAGGGGGGCAAAAAAUUCACAGUCAAUGAGUGUUAACAGGAAGUAAGCAUGCAACAUAUUGAACAGCUAGACAGACAUAUUAUGGUAGAAUCCU